UAGGAGUGGAGCGUCCAUUCGUAAGAAUUGUAUAACUCAGAUAUGGUGAUGAAAUUCAGUACGUUAUAACAAUACUCUUUGAAUCCCUCGGUAUUAAGUUGAUAUUAAAAAAUCCUUUUGCUUUUAGUUAAUGAUUGUUUCCAAAUCGCGGCCACAAUUUUUGAGAAUUAAUACCACAUGUUAUAAGUUUAGUCCCUCCAACCAACAGAUUGAUAUCUGAGAAGGAUAAAAUCAUACACACAUAAAUCAAAUUUAAAAUUUUCCAUCACAUGUAAAUUAUAAUUAAUAAAGCAAAUAUACUGUAUCGUAUCACAAUUACAGAAGCAAGGAUUUUAAAAUGCCACAGUAUUUAACAGCUACUAUUCACAAUUCUUAAAAAAUGAGUAGAAGACUAAUGUGUACAAAGCAUCGAUGAAUCACUUCCAAAAUCAGAUACACAAAAUCUGAAAACAGCGCCUAUCCAAAGCAAAAAAGAGAACAAUUAGGCAUAAACAAAAUGCAACAACAAGAAAGCUUUUUCCCACUAAGUGGGUUCGGCUAUAUGAAUCCUAGAAUGCCAUUGCACUCGGUUAUGUGUCUGAUGCGAAAAUUAACUUAACACAUAAAUUAAACCCUCUUGUUGUCAAAUUGUAGUAUAAAUGCAAGUAGGGAUCGUUCUAAA
rnacentral:lncRNA from 1 species